rnacentral:misc_RNA from 1 species
GGAUGGCGUGCUUUCAACGUGGUAUGGUCGUAACCAAAAGGAUUUGAAUUUAAUAGGUAUAAAAAGAGGACAUUUUGUCCCAUAUGCUACAGUGACAUUAUGUCCCAUCAACAGUACUGACAUUUUGUCACCUCUGUUAUUCUGGCAUUAUGUCCCAUCAACAGUACUGACAUUAUGUCCCAUCAACAGUACUGACAUUUUGUCACCUCUGUUAUUCUGGCAUUAUGUCCCAUCAACAGUACUGACAUUUUGUCACCUCUGUUAUACUGGCAUUUUGUCACCUCUGUUAUACUGGCAUUAUGUCCAUUCCAUUCCUUUAUAAAGAGGAAAAGUGAAUAAAAGGGUAAACAUCAUAAGGGGAAA